rnacentral:rRNA from 1 species
GACAGAGGGUGCAAACGUUGUUCGGAAUUACUGGGCGUAAAGCGCGUGUAGGCGGCCCUGCAAGUCGGAUGUGAAAUCCCACGGCUCAACCGUGGAAGUGCAUUCGAAACUGCAGGGCUAGAGUCCUGGAGAGGAAGGUGGAAUGCUUGGUGUAGAGGUGAAAUUCGUAGAUAUCAAGCGGAACACCGAUGGCGAAGGCAGGUCUCUGGGCAUUAACUGACGCUGAGGAGCGAAAGCAUGGGGAGCGAACAGG